rnacentral:rRNA from 1 species
AAACUUUCAACAACGGAUCUCUUGGUUCUGGCAUCGAUGAAGAACGCAGCAAAAUGCGAUAAGUAAUGUGAAUUGCAGAAUUCAGUGAAUCAUCGAAUCUUUGAACGCACAUUGCGCCCGCCAGUAUUCUGGCGGGCAUGCCUGUUCGAGCGUCAUUUCAACCCUCAAGCCCCCGGGUUUGGUGUUGGGGAUCGGCGAGCCCUUGCGGCAAGCCGGCCCCGAAAUCUAGUGGCGGUCUCGCUGCAGCUUCCAUUGCGU